AUUGAACGCUGGCGGCAGGCCUAACACAUGCAAGUCGAACGUGUGGCGGACGGGUGAGUAAUGUCGGCGAAACUGCCUGAUGGUGGGGUAUAACUCCUGGAACCGGUAGCUAAUACCGCAUACCAUCAGAUGUGCCCAGAUGGGCUUCGCGAGUUGGUGGGGGAACGGCUCACCAAGGCGACGAUCCCUAGAUGGUCUGAGAGGAUGACCAGCCACACUGGACCUGAGACAUGGUCCAGAUUCCGACGGGAGGCAGCAGUUGUGAAUGUUGCGCAAGGGGGGCAAGGCUGAAGCAGCAAUGCAGAGUGAGUGAAGAAGGAUUUCGGAUUGUAAAAUAAAUGCGACGGGGAGGCGAUACCGGCAGAGGAAGCACCGGCUAACUCCGUGCCAGCAGCCGCGGUAAUUC
rnacentral:rRNA from 1 species